CUCACUAAAAAUGAUUAGCAAGUCAAUCCACAUAGUAUUUGCAUAUUCUGCAUUUAGUCUGGCUUCUGAAGAAUAGGUCUGCUUUUCUGUGGUUUGAAAUCAAGCAAUGUCAGUAAAUGUCAAAAAACAGGGAUGAAAAAGGUAAAGACUCCAAAACUGACUGCAGAAAUAUGUUUCCAAAGUGACCUACCCAGUAAUGGCAAGCUGACUGAACUGCACAAAUGACUUUGGCUACUUUUUAGUUUAUCGUUUGGACUUUUUGGCUGUCUUCAAGAGUGGCUCAUCUUUGACCAUUGAAGGGACCCCAACAACCGCAGAGGAUGUGGCUAACCCCCGGUCCAUAGUGGUUGUCGGUUUGACACCAGAGGGUUCCAGGGUUAAAGCAUGUCUUGAACUAAGGUAAUCCAUACGUCACAGAUGCUGACAUCUCAUAGGAAGGAAUGAAGCUCAAGAAAAAUCAGAGAUUCUGGGGAAGCCUUUAAUAUGUAUAGUAAAUCCGGACACUGUAUUUAAUGUAUUCAAAUUGUCAUUCAUGAAAUGCAUAGACUAAAAGUCUGUUAUAUAUUAAAAGUCUGUUGUAUAUUUACAGUCCCAUGCCAUACAGCGAUGUACCUUCUUUGUGCAGUAAUAUUUUACAGUAUUUAUUUAUCUAUCAAUCUAUCUAUUUAUUUAUCUAUAUGGCCUCCCAAUGAAACCAAGUAUAUCAUAAUAUUGUAUUUGAAAAACAUGAAUCUAAAAUGUAGAAAUGGUGAUUGAUUUGAAAUUUAAAACAGUUAUAAGGAAAUAAUGAAACUCAAGCAAAAAGAACUGUGGUCAGUAAAAUUAUUAUUGAACUAAAUACACAAAAAACUUGUCUUAUAUUUCCCUCUGCAGCCCACACCAUAUAGACUAUAUCCCCCAAAUAAACUAACUCUCAAGCUGCAAUGCAUGGGAGUAAAGGGAACAGUUGUAUUUUAGACAUUGUAAUUAUACUCUUUUUCCCAAGGUAGUGUGGCCUUGGAGUCUGUAUAUUACGUCUCCAGGGAUGUGAAACGAUGUCUCCAUACUGUGUAGAAUAAUUAGAUUCAGUGCUAGUGUUUUAAAUACUAACUUUUACAAUUUUAACUUCACUGUUCUCACAUAUUUGGCUAUGCUCUUGAAAGUGUUUUUCCCACAGUUUACCACUGCUUUUUAUUCCUUCUUACUUCAGUAGAGACUGGCAUAUUAAUAUCUUUAAAUAUUUAAUAGACUUGGCCUGGCACCAUGAGGGAAAAGGAAGAAGCUGUGACUGUGGCCCAUACAACACAAGAUUAUCCAGCAGCAUGUGUGCUGGAGGUAUUGGGCAUAGUGGGUGAGUGAGCAGGUGAUGCAGGCUGUCCCAUCCGGGUGGCAUUGGGUCAUGGUGUGUGAGUGAGCAGGUGAUGCAGGUUCUUCCAUCCAGGUGGCAUUGGGUCAUGGUUUGUGAGUGAGCAGGUGAUGUAGGCUGUCCUAUCCAGGUGGCGUUGGGUCAUGGUUUGUGAGUGAGCAGGUGAUGCAGGCUGUCCUAUCUGGGUGGUGUUGGGUCAUAGAUUGUGAAUGAGCAGGUGAUGCAGGCUCUCCCAUCUGGGUGGCGCUGGGUCAUGGUUUGUGAAUGAGCAGGUGAUGGAGGUUCUCCCAUCCAGGUGGUAUUAGCUCAUGGAUUGUGAGUAAGCAGCAGAAGCAGGCUCACCCAUCUGGGUGGUGUUGGGUCAUGGAUUGUGAGUAAGCAGCCAAUGUAGGCUCACCAAUACUGCUGGGAGAGAGGCAGCUCUGGCUCACUACUUGAGUGACAUCUAGAGUUAGCAGUAGCCAUUGCACCCACACAGAAUGAGUCUACCAAGCACUCAAGCUGCUAGCAAUGUGUCUUAUAUGUGGUGGAACCCCUAUACAAAUACACACGUUUCCCAGGGUGUUUAGCAAUUGUGGAGCUGCCACAGUAGUUAUGGCUGCAAGACUUGGGGUCUACCAAACCUUGAAUCUGAUUUCUUCAUGCCUAACCUGUAGGGGAGAACUGGUGAGUUUGCACUUUUCAUGUAAUUAAUGGGCCAUAUUGGUCUCACCCUGCAUGGGAAUGGUCCCAAUUUCAUGGGAUUGGUGAGCUAGUGGGCCUGACAUAGUUAUGGGACAGUAUUUAGGCUUAGCCCAGUUCCAAUGUCCUUAAAGGAGGAACAAAUAGGUGAAAUGGGUACAAAUACAGCAGUCACUGAAUCAUUCAAGUGGACAAAGGAAGAGGUGAGUAAAAUGUUUAAUAGACGUGACUUCUAGGUACCAACAUGCAUAAAUUGUUAGAUAAGAAUGUGUAUGUCAACUGCUGAAUCCUGAGCUGUAACAAGGGGGGUUGUGUGUAUAUUAGUAUGAAGAUAUAAUUUAUUCAGGUUCCAUUAUUGCAGCUGGAGACAUUUGUGUUACUACUAAUGUACCAUGGGACUUCAUAUUAGACCUACAGAGAAUUAACAUCCAUUUUAGAUUAUAGGUAUAAUGUGUGUA